GGGGGCUGGACCGGGGGCUGGAUCAAGGCUUGGGGAGGUACAGGGGGGGCUGGACCGGGGGCUGGAUCAAGGCUUGGGGAGGUACAGGGGGGGCUGGAUCAAGGCUUGGGGAGGUACAGGGUCUGUGUGACGGACGUCCCCAUUCGGCCCUCCUCCAGGGACUGCUGUAUCUGCACCGCCU